rnacentral:tRNA from 1 species
CCUUGGAUGACAAAUUUCCAUCUAGGAGCUGUAAACUCUUAUCAAUUAAUUGUCUAGA